AUGACUUCCUGCUUCUUCCAUGAUAUGCAGCCAAUCUUAUACUGAUAAAUGUCACUGCGUCACCAGGAUGACUCGGCACCUUAUUCCAGAUGGGAUUCUUGAUUAUGCCGGCAUUACGACUACACAUAUGUGAAAGUGUGCAUCUACUGGAUUGGCUGUGCAGAUUAGUGGCAGUGUAACCCCGCUCAACCCAUGGACCUCCAAUCAGAAGAAUCCAAGCUCACCACAAACAGACGACCAGAUGACCAACGCUUCUAAUGGAGUGAAGAAGGCUACCCAUUCCUAAGCAUCCCAUGGUUGGAAGAUGACAAGGAUCAAGUCAGGUCAAGACUGGGUUUGAAUGACAUCGCGAGACAGGAGGACCCAGAACCAAAUAAUACCCUCCAGCACAUUUUGGAAAAUGCUUUGGCCACCACAAGGACGCUUUAAAGAAACUGUCUCAAGAGAAGCUACAAAUAGGGGCUGUGGCCCUAACAAUCGCCUAGCCCUAGAUUCUUGCUGCAGCUACAUAGUGAACAAUGAGGGCGACAUUAACCAUGAUCAAUGUAGACUGACAGCAAUCAAAACUCCAUGGAACACCAAACACCAGAUUAUUUGGGUGGAUGGGGAAACUGGGGGAAUAUAAUUACUUUGCAUUUCUUUGUUUUAUGGAGAUAUACAUGUUGAAUGUUUGGUAAACUAGCAGGCAUGGAAUUUAGGGAAUCACCUAACAUUGGUAAAUUAUGGUGUAAAAGCAAGAGGUGAAAUGUUAUGGACAUUGAAAUUAUGUGUUUUUACAUCCAUCAUUUAGUAUAAAUUUCCCUGCCUCCACGGUCUAAAGCUUAGUCACAUACAGCCACAGUAGGCGGGGCUAAAGAACCUGUUUUUCCAGGUUAUGUGAGGAGAGCAGGUGGACAUUAGGCCAAAGGGGUGGGGCAUUAGGGGUUUCACAGGAAACCAUAUGGCCGUCUGUCUCUUUGCUUUUGUAGCAUCUCCUGCUUCUUAAGCCUGGGAUGGAUAAGUAUAUUGAUUGUAUCAUUUCUACACUAAAUAUUCAUGUAUCACUUGCGUAGAUUCCUGCUAGUUUGCUAAACAUAGAGUAUGUACUAUUGUCUUAAUGCUUGUAUGUAUGUCUUAUUUCGUUUAGCUAAUUAAUGUUUUUAUUAAAUGUUAUCAACUGUG